rnacentral:rRNA from 1 species
UACAGAGGUCUCAAGCGUUGUUCGGAAUCACUGGGCGUAAAGCGUGCGUAGGCUGUUGUGUAAGUUGGGGGUGAAAUCCCACGGCUCAACCGUGGAACAGCCCUUGAUACUGCGCGACUUGAAUCCGGGAGAGGGUGGCGGAAUUCCAGGUGUAGGAGUGAAAUCCGUAGAUAUCUGGAGGAACAUCAGUGGCGAAGGCGGCCACCUGGACCGGUAUUGACGCUGAGGCGCGAAAGCGUGGGGAGCAAACAGG